rnacentral:rRNA from 1 species
CUGCGGAAGGAUCAUUAAAAAAAGAGAAACGCCCCGUUUUUUUCAUAAGAAUGGGUUCUAUUCCCUUAAACCGUGUCUACAUACCUUUGUUGCUUUGGCAGGCCGCCUUCGGGCGUCGGCUCCGGCUGAUAGUGCCUGCCAGAGGACCCAAACUCUAUGUUUAGUGAUGUCUGAGUACUAUAUAAUAUUUUAAAACUUUCAACAACGGAUCUCUUGGUUCUGGCAUCGAUGAAGAACGCAGCGAAAUGCGAUAAGUAAUGUGAAUUGCAGAAUUCAGUGAAUCAUCGAAUCUUUGAACGCACAUUGCGCCCCUUGGUAUUCCGAGGGGCAUGCGUGUUCGAGCGUCAUUAUAACCACUCAAGCCUGGCUUGGUAUUGGGGUCUUCGCGUGCUCGCGGCCCUUAAAAUCAGUGGCGGUGCCGUCUGGCUCUAAGCGUAGUAAUUUCUCUCGCUAUAGGGUUCCGGUGGUUACUUGCCAAAACCCCCCAUUUUUUCUAGGUUGACCUCGGAUCAGGUAGGGAUACCCGCUGAACUUAAACAUAUCAAUAAGCGGAGGAA